rnacentral:rRNA from 1 species
UCCUACGGGGGGCAGCAGUGAGGAAUAUUGGUCAAUGGCCGGAAGGCUGAACCAGCCAAGCCGCGUGAAGGACGAAGGUGCCAAGCAUUGUAAACUUCUUUUGUCAAGGGACAAAAUCAGGCUCGAGAGCCUGACCGAGGGUACUUGAAGAAAAAGCAUCGGCUAACUCCGUGCCAGCAGCCGCGGUAAUACGGAGGAUGCGAGCGUUAUCCGGAUUUAUUGGGUUUAAAGGGUGCGUAGGCGGAUUUUUAAGUCAGCGGUAAAAUGUCCGGGCUCAACCCGGGCCGGCCGUUGAAACUGGGGAU